rnacentral:rRNA from 1 species
CAAUAGCGUAUAUUAAAGUUGUUGCAGUUAAAAAGCUCGUAGUUGGAUUUCUGGUGGGAGCGAUCGGUCUGGCGCUUAGCGCGAGUACUUGCAUCGUCUCCGGCCAUCCUUGGGGAGAGUCUGUCUGGCAUUAGGUUGUCGGGCAGAGGAUCCUCAUCGUUUACUGUGAAAAAAUUAGAGUGUUCAAAGCAGGCUUACGCCGUUGAAUAUAUUAGCAUGGAAUAAUAAGAUAGGACUUUGGUACUAUUUUGUUGGUUUGCGCACCAAAGUAAUGAUUAAUAGGGACAGUUGGGGGUAUUCGUAUUCCGUUGUCAGAGGUGAAAUUCUUGGAUUUACGGAAGACGAACUACUGCGAAAGCAUUUACCAAGGAUGUUUUCAUUA